CCUACGGGUGGCAGCAGUGAGGAAUAUUGGUCAAUGGACGAGAGUCUGAACCAGCCAAGUAGCGUGAAGGAUGACUGCCCUAUGGGUUGUACACUUCUUUUAUAUGGGAAUAAAAUGUUCCCCGUGUGGGCUUUUGUAUGUCCCAUAUGAAUAAGGAUCGGCUAACUCCGUUCCAGCAGCCCCGGUAAUACGGGGGAGCCGAGUGUUAUCCGGAUUUAUUGGGUUUAAAAGUAUCGUAGGUGGAUUGUUGAGUCAGUUGUGAAAAUUUGGGGCGUAACCCUAAAAUUGCAGUUGAAACUGGCAGUCUGGAGUACAGUAGAGGUGUGCGGAAUGCGUGGUGUAGCGGUGAAAUGCUUAGAUAUCACGAAGAACUCCGAUUGCGAAGGCAGCACACUGGAGUGCAACUGACACUGAGGCUCGAAAGUGUGGGUAUCAAACAGGAUUAGAUACCCCUGUAGUC
rnacentral:rRNA from 1 species